rnacentral:rRNA from 1 species
AAUCAACGCUGGCGGCGUGCCUCAGACAUGCAAGUCGAACGCGAAAGGUUCCUUCGGGGACCGAGUAGAGUGGCGUCCGGGUGAGUAACACGUGGGUAAUCUACCUUCGGGUGGGGAAGUAACGACCGGAACGGUCGCUAAUACCGCAUAAUGCAGCGGCACCUAAUGGUGACAGUUGUUAAAGCUGGGGAUCGCAAGACCUAGCGCUUGAAGAGGGGCCCGCGCCUGAUUAGCUAGNGGUGGGGUAAUGGCUCACCAAGGCAACGAUCAGUAUCCGGCCUGAGAGGGCGGACGGACACACUGGAACUGAGACACGGUCCAGACUCCUACGGGAGGCAGCAGUGGGGAAUAUUGGGCAAUGGGCGCAAGCCUGACCCAGCCAUGCCGCGUGAGUGAUGAAGGCC